GAAACCGGAGCUAAUACCGGAUAAUAUAUUGAACCGCAUGGUUCAAUAGUGAAAGACGGUUUUGCUGUCACUUAUAGAUGGAUUCGCGCUGCAUUAGCUAGUUGGUAAGGUAACGGCUUACCAAGGCAACGAUGCAUAGCCGACCUGAGAGGGUGAUCGGCCACACUGGAACUGAGACACGGUCCAG
rnacentral:rRNA from 1 species